CGUGAAAUUGUUGAAAGGGAAACGCUUGAAGUCAGUCGCGCCGUUCAGGACUCAGCCUUGCUUUGCUUGGUGUACUUCCUGUUUGGUGGGUCAGCAUCAAUUUUGGUCGGUGGAUAAAGGCUUAGAGAAUGUGGCAUCUUCGGGUGUGUUAUAGCUCUGGGUCGCAUACGUCGGCUGGGAUUGAGGAACUCAGCACGCCGCAAGGCCGGGGACUUGUCCCACGUACGUGCUUAGGAUGCUGGCAUAAUGGCUUUAAUCGACCCGUCUUGAAACACGG
rnacentral:rRNA from 1 species